GACGAACGCUGGCGGCGUGCUUAACACAUGCAAGUCGAACGGAAAGGCCCGGCGUUUGUUGGGUGCUCGAGUGGCGAAGGGGGGAGUAACACGUGAGGAACCUGCCCCUGUCUUUGUGAUAACUUCAGGAAACUGGGGCUAAUACCGGAUAGGAUCUCCUGCUGCAUGGGGGGGGUUGGAGAGUUUCGGCUGUUGGGGAUGGACUCGCGGCUUAUCAGCUUGUUGGUGUGGUAGGUGCGUACCAAGGCUUUGACGGGUAGCCGGCCUGAGAGGGUGACCGGCCACAUUGCGACUGAGAUACGGCCCAGACUCCUACGGGCCGCAGCAGUGGAGAAUAUUGCACAAUGGGCGGAAGCCUGAUGCAGCAACGCCGCGUGCGGGAUGACGGCCUUCGGGUUGUAAACAGAUUUCGCCUGUGCCGAAGCGUGAGUGACGGUAAUGGGUAAAGAAGCCACGGCUAACUACGUG
rnacentral:rRNA from 1 species